rnacentral:sRNA from 1 species
GCUGCUCUAUCCCUGGUCAAAUCCUCUCUCCCUGGAUCUAUACCCAGAGGGCAGUCCCAGACUGUCCCUCUAAAGAAUUUUACUCUGUGCUAUAAACGAUAGCUACGAGAGGCCCAGGGACGGAGAGUCAGGUUGGUGAGGGAGCUCAAGGAAACUUGAUUUUACCAAGGAGAACACAGGCCAGAGAUCUGGAGCUUCUUGCUCAAAGUCACGGCAGUUGUCAUGGAUGAGGAAAGAGAGGGAAAUUGUACUUAAUUUAAUGAUUCUGGUUCCAGAGCUCUUUCCAGGAGAGUGAGCUCCACUGUGAAGUCUUUGUCUCAAGAUGGAGAGGAUUGGAGUCCAUGGAAAUUUCAAAUGGAGGCAAAAGGAAGAGGUAGGAGCCAAGGCCUGGGCUAUUGGGAAUCCCCAUUGAUCACAGCAGCACCCUGCCUAAGCCCUUGGAAAGAGGCUGGCAAGGGUCACAAUCGUUAGGAUGCUCAGGACCUUCUAGAAGCCAUCGGUGCUAUUUAAAGAGAGGCUCUCCCCCAUCUCUCCCAACUCUGUCUGUCCUUCAUUUUAUUCAUGUCUUGAGCUAGUACUACCCCACCCACAAGGGUUGCGCAACCCCCUUUCCUUCCAACACCUCUGCUUUUCUAAUCUCCUACCACAGCUACCUAAACCUGUCUCUGGGACAUGUUAUCCCAAACUGCCAUCUACAGUCCAGGUAUUAAGCGCUUUCUCAUAUAUUGCCCUGUGACAUCGCCUGUACCAUCUAUGUGGUGGUUACUUUACUCCUUGAACAGCCUUCUGUCAGCCAAUGUUCCCAGACUCCCUUUGUACAGAGGCAGUACCACUGCUUAUCAAUAGACCCAAGUAGCCAGGAGCUGUCCACACCUCCACUUCUACCUGCCCAACUGUUGUGUCCUCAGAGACCUAAAGUCCAGAUGGAGUCGCCACAGAAUGGAUAAGUUCACUUCAUCUGUGAGCAGACUUUGCACAAACAACAUGUUACAUAUUUUGUCAACACAUCGAGAGCUGAUGACAUAUUUAUAUAACUAUCACCAUAGCCACUGAUCACAGCAGCACCCCGCCUGAGCCCUCAUCUAUACUGACCAAUAAAAUUAGCUUCUGCUGUGAAAUCUUGGGUCUGUUACUAAUUGGUAAAGAGUCAUUUUCUCACUUCUGGACCUCAGUUUUGUCCUUUUAAAAACAGCAGACAUUGGAAGGUAUGGGGGGGAAAACCCAUAUUUUCCAUACACUAUGUUCCAGUCAAUGUGUCUUAUACACACAAAUACACAUUGAAUCUGACAACUGCUCUAUGAGAUUGAUUCCCCUAAGAAGGAAAAAUCUGAGUUGGGGUGGGGAGGGCUAGGGGUUGUACAGCCACCCUUCCCAGGUCACGUAGCUACUAAGUGGCUGUCUGGAGUUUGGACACAGGCAAUCUGACCCCGGAGCCCUGAAUAAUAACCACCAUGUUUCAUGAUCACUCAAACUCCCUCAAGCACGACUCUGCCGUAGCAUUCAUAUUGAUCCUGGACUCUCCACGUGCAUGCUUAUCUUCCAAGUCAAAUCGGAUUUAUUUGGGAACAGAAGUGAUGGCCCCGUUGCUGUUCAUAGCAGCCCCUCUCACUGGUUCCUGAGCCUAGGACAGAGUGCACCUGACUACAUGACUUGUAAAUCCUCCGUGAGCUGAAUUGGACAACCUGAAGUCAAAUCACAGAGCUGUAUCUCCUGGCUGGUGACUCUGACUCGAACAGUGAGAUUGCAUUAAAGACUCAGAAAGAAAACCCAGAGCCCUUCAACCUGGUGGUUCAGUGUGUGCCCCUCAUUCCAUCGAUAUGUGGUCUACAUGCUGGUUUAUAAGAAGUCCUAUGUGUAUGUGUCCUGGGAGGAUUCAUGCCUCUGCCUCUGUUUUCUGAAGAAUCACAGGCCUGCCAAUGAGUGAGUUGACUUCAAGGUACUUAAAAGAAGCACACAAAGGGUCAGGCUCAGCCAGGCUCUGUGAGGGACCAUUGCUGUGCAUAACCAUUUCCAUGCCAGUUCCAGUUGAAAAAGUAGCAAGUGAUCUCAGUGCAGGGACUGUCUUCAUGCUGUGGCAAAAUACUGGACCAGAGGCCAAAGGAAGGAAGGGUUUGCUUUGGUUCACAGUCCCGUUUUAGGGUCCAGUCAUCACGACAUGGGAAGUCAUAAAGCAGGGACUUGAGGAAGCUGGUCACACUGCACCCACAGUCAGGAAGCAGAGAGAGAUGGAUGUCUGAGCUCGCUCUGUUAAUCCCAGUGUAUUCGGUGCUGGACCUCAGCUUGUGGGAUGGUGUCAUCCACACUCAGAGUGGUCGUCUUCAAUUAAUACAUCCUAGGUUCACAGGAGGGCCUGGAACUUUGUCCCCUAGGGAACCCUAAAUCCUGUCAAAUUGACAGUCGAUUUUAACUAUAACAGGUGAGGAACAUUGUUGACUGUGUCUGCCUGUUUCUGCAGUGCAAAAUAUUCAGCCUACUGUAAGAUAGCGAUGUGAUGUCACCGGGCUGACCAUUAGAAGGGAGUUCAACAUUGAGCUCUGAACAGCCCCUCGGAGAAGGCCCCAGAAUCAGACGCUAUGCAAAGCAUGGUGGGCUUUUACCUCCACAUCCCCAAUGUACGAUUAAAGAAUUGAUGGAAGCUGGAGGAAUGUGAGUGAGCUCCAGUGAGAAUUGUGUCCAGGUAGAAGAAUAUUAGACCCUGAAGAUACGUGAUUGUCCUCUAUGAGCAAAGGCUUCUAAGUCCCACAGAAAACAGACUUAGACUCUCAUCGGUCCGGGCUGGCUAAUGUCCAAUUCUACCUGCAGGCAAAUGAACAGACCAGGUACCUCUAAACAUCACCCUCGGCCUCAGAGUUCAGUGAUGCAAACAUAAUUUGCUCUCAACUUUCUUUGGCCACUAGGGGCCUUGUCAGAUUGUCUGUAGGUCAGAGGCAGUAGUACCAGAACAGCUAGUUGCAAGCUGUCUGUACCAAUGAGAGGCAGAGUUGCUGGGCACGCUGGGUACUUUUACUGCAGCUAUCGAGAGUGAUCAGACACCAUGCGGAUGUACAACUCUUGAAUCCUCAACUUCAGAGAAUUCAGACUACACAGGGAGGCUCCUAACUACUAAAGGUGGGAGAGAGACCUGCCUGUGCCAGGCCUUCACCAAGGUUGCUCAGAAUGAACCUUGCACAUCCCUGCCAGGUCUUGGCACUCACUCUCUGCCCUACAGAGCUGGCCCAGCUCACCCAAUCACAGCAGCCCUGCAGCUUCCCUGCCUGGCACAGGACCUCUUGCUGCAUAUCCAUCAUCUCCAGGGCUCUGAGCCAUUGUCCAGAGCCUUUCCUGGGACUUGGCAGAUAAUGACCCAGACUCCUGAAACCUCGUAGGGAGGGCAGGGACCUGACUGCCAAGGAGCAGACAGGAUGUGGAGAGAAGCUUUUCAUUCCCCAUAUACAGGAAGCUUUGAAGAGACAGCAGACGAGCUGUCUCUGAGGAACGUCAUCUCCCACCAGUGAAGACUGGCUGCCAGGGAGGGUUUCUGGCCAGGCCUGCAUCCAAUGGCCUGAUCAUAUUUCCAGAGACAACCAUGAAGGAGGGGACUGCUCCUGUUUCUAAGAGGUGAAACUUCAGCACCGGGCGCUAAUCAAGCUGAGUUAACGAAGGAGCAAAGACCCGCGUUCAUUUUCCUCCCACAGAACCUCAGACGCGGGCUAAAAACGAGAGAUUCUGCAAAGUGCCCCGCUAAGCAUGCUUAUUGCAGAGGCGAGGUAGAGAACCAGACACGCUCAUGAGCAAGUUGCUUGUGAAGGCAGAAUUAAGCAUCAGAUCCCCGACUUUUGGUUUACUGCUUACACGGGCCCAGCAAAUAACACAAAUGAUGAUCCAUGGGAAGCGUAGCUUUUCAGAGAAAAGCCAACGGACUAAUUCACUGGCACGAGAAAGCUAGACUCAGCACUCAGACAGCAUUUGUUUUGAUUCUCCAGCCUGCACAUCGAGGGGUCAGCACAGCAGUGUCAACCCUGCCUGUGUGACACUUGUGCUCUCCUGACCCUGUCUCCCACAAAGCCUGGUUUUCCUGAGAUACCCCUGGUCUACCAUUCAUUCAUUCAUUUAUUCACUCACUCAUCUGUCCAGUGUCUGCCCACUCUCCUUCUAUCCAUCCCUCAUUCAACUAUGAAUCCAGCAUUUCAUUUUCUAAAGGCCCAUCACGCUCCAGACCUUCCUCUGGUUUCUGGGGGAUGUUUUAUACCUAGCAGUGAUUAAGAACAGACAUUUUGGAGUCAGACUAACUGAAGAACAAACAGGUUCGCUGCUUUCUGGCUGUGUGGCCCUGAACCCAUUGCAGGCCUCACUAAACCCCAGUUUCCCUGUCUGUAAGACGGCCAUAAUGAUAUCUCCCCUUUGAAACUGUGCUGAAAACAAACACGCGAAAAUGAGCGUGGGUAGAGACCCACAGGUAGAGCAUGCGCAGACAGCCCACAUAGGGAUUGCCCACAGGUGGAGCAUGCGCAAACGACCCAUGUUGAUCUCGUCCCCCGCCCCUCCCCAUCCCUUCAGAAGAACUUCUUCCAAUCCACUGUUCACACCCUCGCCAUUAUCCCUCUCCUCCCAUUUGAGUUUCUGUUUGUAGCUAGCUAUCUUAGUUUGUUUUGUGCUAUGAUAACUCUGAAACUGAAUCCUUUGCAAAGAACAAAAGUUUAUUUCUUUCUAGUUAUGGAAACCAAAAAUGUCCUAGGUCAAGAUACCAACAUCGGUGAAGGAUUUCUUACUAUGGUGGCAAGGCAGAAGGCAUCACACGGAAGAGAGAACAAAUUCUAACACAGUGGUUCUCAACCUCCCUAAUGCUAUGACUCUUAACACAAUUUUUCAUGUUGGGGUGACUUCCAAACAUAAAAAUUAUUUUUGUUGCUACUUCAUAACUGUAAGUUUACUACUGUUACGAAUCAUAAUGUAAAUAUCUCCAUUUUUCUGACUGUCUAAGGCAACCCUGUGAAAGGGUCAUUCAACCCCGAAAAGGGUUGCAAUGCUCAGGUUUAGUGCCAGUGAUCUGGAGGUGUGAGUAGGAACCUGUCCUUUUUAUGAGGAACCCACUCCUGCUAUGAGGAGAAUAGAGUUGAUCUAUUAAACUAUCUCCAGGCCCAGUAAUGUGGAAGCCUCCUCAGAGGUCUUACCUUCUAAAAUGGCUGUCGUGGGAAUCAAAUUCCAACAUAUGGGGUUUAGGGAAGACAUUCAAACCAGAGUAGCAACCUGUCUCACUUCCUGGAUGUCUCCAUCUUUAGCCCUUAUGUACCCUGCACCAAAUUAACUCUCCUGCCCAGUGAACUAUCUACGUAUCUUUCGACGAACACUUUCUCAUCCUACACUUUCUUCCUCUGUAGAAAGCUAGGAUUCAGUCCUCACCUCAACUACCAUCUCCUAAAGAAAUGUGCUUGAACCCCUCCCUAUUUGGCCCCUUCACUUCCUGUCCUUCUUCAGUGGUCCUCGCCUCAACGACUCUGCUCACCUGCAUCCUUGUCUCCUCUCUCAUUGCCCCAAGCAUGUUCACAAUCUCCUUGACAGCCUGCCCAACUCAGUUUCCCCACGAUGCCCAGCAGUCACUUGCACAUAAAUACUUGUUAAUUCGACCGAGCUGCUUCCCCCACCAGUCCUGUUCCCACUCAAUCUCACUUCAUAUGUCAAGGCUGUUGAUUUUAUUACCAGGAAAUCAUCUGCAUAUUCCUACCUGCUUUGCUCCCCAUGCCUGAUAUCUCAGAUUUAAAGGUAAGUUAGACUGUAGACUGCCUUUUAAAUAUCCCCAGCUGAUUCUGUACAACUGCAGCCGAGGCCUGUAACAUUUAUUUAUAACUUUGCGAAAUUGGCCGGUGGUUAAGAUAUAUAAACCCGACGGGGCUCAUGCAUUUCCAAUACAUUAAGGUAUAUUUAAAACAUGCUGUGUCUUAUCAGCGGCUUUAAAAUACACAUUACCGCAGGAAUCAGGUGGACGGGAGCGAGGUAAUUGACUAAUGAGAAUUCUGUACAGUGACUGGAAAUAUGGCAGAACUGCCCUUUGAGAACUGUGCUCGCACCUACUAAUGAACUUUAUCUGCGGCUCUAAAACACAGCCCUGUGUUUCAAACACAAGCCCAGGAGGCUGCGCGGCUCGAAUGCGGUUGUGUUAAUUCACACCUAGUUAUGGUGACUGGCACCAGCCUUCAACACUGGUCAGAAGAAAGCUGCCGAACUGCUCUAGAAUAAUUACUAAGACUGGGUUUAUUUUAUAACAGGUGCCAGGUGUUAAUAUUGAAGGGCAUGUUUUGUUCUAACUCAAAGCAUGUGCAGGGGUUUGGGGAGUCAGGGCUGUGUGCAUCUGUUCGUAUGUCCACAUCAUGUGACUACAUACACAUACACACAUACCAUUUCUGUGAUUUAAGGAUGACUGGCAUGGUAGAAAAAGGUACAAUAGGGGAAUUCAGCAAAAUCCAAGCCAAGGCAGGAGUCUAGAGUUCAGAUAGGAUUUUCCAUGACUCAUGGACCUACGGUAAAUGUUCAGAGCAAGAACAUUCAUGUCUAAGCCAGUGAAGAUAGUGGAGCUGACCUUGUCCCAAAGAAGAGCCAUUCCCUUCGUAAUGGAGGAAAAAGGCUACUUCCCAUGCAUCUUCUAAAUGGUGCUGACCCAAAGCAGUGGGCUCAGUGACCAAGGUCGAAUUGCUUCAUUCUGCUUCUUUAGAUGCCUUCCGCUGUCCCUUUGGGUGCCUUCCUAACAACAACUGUUACAAAUCUUCCCAUAAUUCCAUCACAUAUAACUGGAAUGGGGUAGACACCCACAUGGAUUUGCUCCACUGAUUUCCCUUGUAAUUCCCACCUUUUCGUUAUAACGACCCCCCAAAUCCUAUCCUUUGACUGUCUCCCUGUGGGUUAAGACUGUCUAUCUAGUUGAUCAAUGGGCAGAGUUGCCUGUGUGCCCCACAUGUAGUUCAUACAACAAAUCCAAAGGUAACUUUUUACCUAUUCAAUCUGGACAAGUCGUCCCGAUGGAUUUACCUCCCAAAUGUCAUCUCCUCCUUCCUCAACAAAUGGAGCGGGUUUACCCUCCUGGCUCAGACACCCUCCCAGCCAAUCCCAUGCUCUGUCUUUCAUAUGGAUUUAGCAUCAUCUAAACUAAAAUGUAGGAAGAUAGCUUAGCUGAUAAAGUGCUUGCCAUGUAAGUAUGAGGACAUGGGUUUGCAUUCCUAUCACCUCCCGUAAAAGCCAGCAUAGUGGCACACAUCCGUAACCCCCAUCUUGAGAGGCAGAGACAGGAGGACUCCUGGGGGUUGCUGACCAGGUCAGCCUAAUCCUCAAGCUGUGCAUGCGUGCGCACACACACACACAUUUCAUAUAUGAAAGUGUAAAGGGGCUCUGCCUAAGAUUUCGCAACUUAAAUACUAAACUCUGUUUCUUUCCUAGGAUCCUGUGUACUUACAAGGCCACCUUGGAGGCCUCUGCCAGCUUCUCCUCACUGUCCACUACUCUCCAACUGCACUCUCUACUGCAGUGACACUGGACCACCUGACCUUCUUAGCAGUUGCUGACAGCUCUCUGCUGUCCACUUAUCUCUCCUCCUUUUCUAUUUGACGAGUUUCAAAUCAACCUGCACUCAGUGAGCGCUCGCAGGAGCCUCGUCUGAUUCCUCACGCCUGCUUCCAGAGAUCAGUCUGCUGUGUGCAUUGAAAUGUGUUGAUUUUUUUUAAGGUUGUUUGAACCAACAGAAUGGCAACUUGGGAAUUAGUGACUGUAUGUAUCUCUUCCCUUUUUGCAUUGCAAAUUGUUUAUAAAAGUAUUUUUGGUGGGAGCGUUUGAGUGAACAAAUGGAAUGUUUGCACUCACUUUGGUAAAGACUAGAAAUGAAGAGGAAAUGUUGAGGCCAUUGGGCUCAAUGAAUCUUUAAUUUGUACUCUGAAAGGAAUAGAGAAGGGAUGGUAUUCAUGAAAGAAAAAUGUGGUUAUGCUGAGACUUUUAGCUUCAUAUUACCUGAAAACUCACUGUCAAGGCUGAGAAGAUAGCUCGUAGAUAAAGUCCCUGCUACAUAAACUUGAGGACCUGAAUUCAGACCCCCAGCACCCAUGUAAAAGAGUCAAACAUGAUAGAAGUGACUGAGUAAACUUCUUUGCUGAGAGAGGGGAUAAAUAGAGACAGAGAGAUCCCUAGAGCUCUUUGGCUGGUUAACCUGGCCAAAUCAAAGGACCCCAGUUUCAGUGAGAGCCCUUAUCUCAAAAAAUAAUAUUGGAGGAAUAUUUUGAAGAAAGAUACUUGCUUGAUGCUACCUUUUAGUUCCACAUGCACACAAAAAAAACCCAUGCACAAUGCACAAUUAACCGGUUCCCUGUAAAAUCAGGAAGGGACACUGUUGUGUGCAGUGCAGGUGCUGGCCAAACUUAGCAUUUCCUUGCUGUGUUAGUACGUGCGGUGCCAUGUGUGGAGGUAACACUAGGACACCUGUCACUCAGGGAAAGACAAUAUACAGUCUAUCACUAAUUCUGUCACACACCCUUUGGGAAUUUGGAAGUGAAGUCAUCUGGGAUUGAGGGUCGAGUGGAUGGGAAAGAAACACCUGGAUCGGUGAAAAAUAUUUAACAAACAGCGGGUGUUAGGUCUCCACUUUUGUGUUGAUAUAAUGAAAUGUCAAAGAGAACCAGUUAUGGGAGAAAUUAUUUACUUUAUUGCAGGGAUUCCAAGGUUUCCAUCCAAGCGGACGGGGAAGAAAAACAGCACAGAAAAGGGAGACAAGAAGGAACUAUGGUGCUCUAUCCCUGGUCAAAUCCUCUCUCCCUGGAUCUAUACCCAGAGGGCAGUCCCAGACUGUCCCUCUAAAGAAUUUUACUCUGUGCUAUAAACGAUAGCUACGAGAGGCCCAGGGACGGAGAGUCAGGUUGGUGAGGGAGCUCAAGGAAACUUGAUUUUACCAAGGAGAACACAGGCCAGAGAUCUGGAGCUUCUUGCUCAAAGUCACGGCAGUUGUCAUGGAUGAGGAAAGAGAGGGAAAUUGUACUUAAUUUAAUGAUUCUGGUUCCAGAGCUCUUUCCAGGAGAGUGAGCUCCACUGUGAAGUCUUUGUCUCAAGAUGGAGAGGAUUGGAGUCCAUGGAAAUUUCAAAUGGAGGCAAAAGGAAGAGGUAGGAGCCAAGGCCUGGGCUAUUGGGAAUCCCCAUUGAUCACAGCAGCACCCUGCCUAAGCCCUUGGAAAGAGGCUGGCAAGGGUCACAAUCGUUAGGAUGCUCAGGACCUUCUAGAAGCCAUCGGUGCUAUUUAAAGAGAGGCUCUCCCCCAUCUCUCCCAACUCUGUCUGUCCUUCAUUUUAUUCAUGUCUUGAGCUAGUACUACCCCACCCACAAGGGUUGCGCAACCCCCUUUCCUUCCAACACCUCUGCUUUUCUAAUCUCCUACCACAGCUACCUAAACCUGUCUCUGGGACAUGUUAUCCCAAACUGCCAUCUACAGUCCAGGUAUUAAGCGCUUUCUCAUAUAUUGCCCUGUGACAUCGCCUGUACCAUCUAUGUGGUGGUUACUUUACUCCUUGAACAGCCUUCUGUCAGCCAAUGUUCCCAGACUCCCUUUGUACAGAGGCAGUACCACUGCUUAUCAAUAGACCCAAGUAGCCAGGAGCUGUCCACACCUCCACUUCUACCUGCCCAACUGUUGUGUCCUCAGAGACCUAAAGUCCAGAUGGAGUCGCCACAGAAUGGAUAAGUUCACUUCAUCUGUGAGCAGACUUUGCACAAACAACAUGUUACAUAUUUUGUCAACACAUCGAGAGCUGAUGACAUAUUUAUAUAACUAUCACCAUAGCCACUGAUCACAGCAGCACCCCGCCUGAGCCCUCAUCUAUACUGACCAAUAAAAUUAGCUUCUGCUGUGAAAUCUUGGGUCUGUUACUAAUUGGUAAAGAGUCAUUUUCUCACUUCUGGACCUCAGUUUUGUCCUUUUAAAAACAGCAGACAUUGGAAGGUAUGGGGGGGAAAACCCAUAUUUUCCAUACACUAUGUUCCAGUCAAUGUGUCUUAUACACACAAAUACACAUUGAAUCUGACAACUGCUCUAUGAGAUUGAUUCCCCUAAGAAGGAAAAAUCUGAGUUGGGGUGGGGAGGGCUAGGGGUUGUACAGCCACCCUUCCCAGGUCACGUAGCUACUAAGUGGCUGUCUGGAGUUUGGACACAGGCAAUCUGACCCCGGAGCCCUGAAUAAUAACCACCAUGUUUCAUGAUCACUCAAACUCCCUCAAGCACGACUCUGCCGUAGCAUUCAUAUUGAUCCUGGACUCUCCACGUGCAUGCUUAUCUUCCAAGUCAAAUCGGAUUUAUUUGGGAACAGAAGUGAUGGCCCCGUUGCUGUUCAUAGCAGCCCCUCUCACUGGUUCCUGAGCCUAGGACAGAGUGCACCUGACUACAUGACUUGUAAAUCCUCCGUGAGCUGAAUUGGACAACCUGAAGUCAAAUCACAGAGCUGUAUCUCCUGGCUGGUGACUCUGACUCGAACAGUGAGAUUGCAUUAAAGACUCAGAAAGAAAACCCAGAGCCCUUCAACCUGGUGGUUCAGUGUGUGCCCCUCAUUCCAUCGAUAUGUGGUCUACAUGCUGGUUUAUAAGAAGUCCUAUGUGUAUGUGUCCUGGGAGGAUUCAUGCCUCUGCCUCUGUUUUCUGAAGAAUCACAGGCCUGCCAAUGAGUGAGUUGACUUCAAGGUACUUAAAAGAAGCACACAAAGGGUCAGGCUCAGCCAGGCUCUGUGAGGGACCAUUGCUGUGCAUAACCAUUUCCAUGCCAGUUCCAGUUGAAAAAGUAGCAAGUGAUCUCAGUGCAGGGACUGUCUUCAUGCUGUGGCAAAAUACUGGACCAGAGGCCAAAGGAAGGAAGGGUUUGCUUUGGUUCACAGUCCCGUUUUAGGGUCCAGUCAUCACGACAUGGGAAGUCAUAAAGCAGGGACUUGAGGAAGCUGGUCACACUGCACCCACAGUCAGGAAGCAGAGAGAGAUGGAUGUCUGAGCUCGCUCUGUUAAUCCCAGUGUAUUCGGUGCUGGACCUCAGCUUGUGGGAUGGUGUCAUCCACACUCAGAGUGGUCGUCUUCAAUUAAUACAUCCUAGGUUCACAGGAGGGCCUGGAACUUUGUCCCCUAGGGAACCCUAAAUCCUGUCAAAUUGACAGUCGAUUUUAACUAUAACAGGUGAGGAACAUUGUUGACUGUGUCUGCCUGUUUCUGCAGUGCAAAAUAUUCAGCCUACUGUAAGAUAGCGAUGUGAUGUCACCGGGCUGACCAUUAGAAGGGAGUUCAACAUUGAGCUCUGAACAGCCCCUCGGAGAAGGCCCCAGAAUCAGACGCUAUGCAAAGCAUGGUGGGCUUUUACCUCCACAUCCCCAAUGUACGAUUAAAGAAUUGAUGGAAGCUGGAGGAAUGUGAGUGAGCUCCAGUGAGAAUUGUGUCCAGGUAGAAGAAUAUUAGACCCUGAAGAUACGUGAUUGUCCUCUAUGAGCAAAGGCUUCUAAGUCCCACAGAAAACAGACUUAGACUCUCAUCGGUCCGGGCUGGCUAAUGUCCAAUUCUACCUGCAGGCAAAUGAACAGACCAGGUACCUCUAAACAUCACCCUCGGCCUCAGAGUUCAGUGAUGCAAACAUAAUUUGCUCUCAACUUUCUUUGGCCACUAGGGGCCUUGUCAGAUUGUCUGUAGGUCAGAGGCAGUAGUACCAGAACAGCUAGUUGCAAGCUGUCUGUACCAAUGAGAGGCAGAGUUGCUGGGCACGCUGGGUACUUUUACUGCAGCUAUCGAGAGUGAUCAGACACCAUGCGGAUGUACAACUCUUGAAUCCUCAACUUCAGAGAAUUCAGACUACACAGGGAGGCUCCUAACUACUAAAGGUGGGAGAGAGACCUGCCUGUGCCAGGCCUUCACCAAGGUUGCUCAGAAUGAACCUUGCACAUCCCUGCCAGGUCUUGGCACUCACUCUCUGCCCUACAGAGCUGGCCCAGCUCACCCAAUCACAGCAGCCCUGCAGCUUCCCUGCCUGGCACAGGACCUCUUGCUGCAUAUCCAUCAUCUCCAGGGCUCUGAGCCAUUGUCCAGAGCCUUUCCUGGGACUUGGCAGAUAAUGACCCAGACUCCUGAAACCUCGUAGGGAGGGCAGGGACCUGACUGCCAAGGAGCAGACAGGAUGUGGAGAGAAGCUUUUCAUUCCCCAUAUACAGGAAGCUUUGAAGAGACAGCAGACGAGCUGUCUCUGAGGAACGUCAUCUCCCACCAGUGAAGACUGGCUGCCAGGGAGGGUUUCUGGCCAGGCCUGCAUCCAAUGGCCUGAUCAUAUUUCCAGAGACAACCAUGAAGGAGGGGACUGCUCCUGUUUCUAAGAGGUGAAACUUCAGCACCGGGCGCUAAUCAAGCUGAGUUAACGAAGGAGCAAAGACCCGCGUUCAUUUUCCUCCCACAGAACCUCAGACGCGGGCUAAAAACGAGAGAUUCUGCAAAGUGCCCCGCUAAGCAUGCUUAUUGCAGAGGCGAGGUAGAGAACCAGACACGCUCAUGAGCAAGUUGCUUGUGAAGGCAGAAUUAAGCAUCAGAUCCCCGACUUUUGGUUUACUGCUUACACGGGCCCAGCAAAUAACACAAAUGAUGAUCCAUGGGAAGCGUAGCUUUUCAGAGAAAAGCCAACGGACUAAUUCACUGGCACGAGAAAGCUAGACUCAGCACUCAGACAGCAUUUGUUUUGAUUCUCCAGCCUGCACAUCGAGGGGUCAGCACAGCAGUGUCAACCCUGCCUGUGUGACACUUGUGCUCUCCUGACCCUGUCUCCCACAAAGCCUGGUUUUCCUGAGAUACCCCUGGUCUACCAUUCAUUCAUUCAUUUAUUCACUCACUCAUCUGUCCAGUGUCUGCCCACUCUCCUUCUAUCCAUCCCUCAUUCAACUAUGAAUCCAGCAUUUCAUUUUCUAAAGGCCCAUCACGCUCCAGACCUUCCUCUGGUUUCUGGGGGAUGUUUUAUACCUAGCAGUGAUUAAGAACAGACAUUUUGGAGUCAGACUAACUGAAGAACAAACAGGUUCGCUGCUUUCUGGCUGUGUGGCCCUGAACCCAUUGCAGGCCUCACUAAACCCCAGUUUCCCUGUCUGUAAGACGGCCAUAAUGAUAUCUCCCCUUUGAAACUGUGCUGAAAACAAACACGCGAAAAUGAGCGUGGGUAGAGACCCACAGGUAGAGCAUGCGCAGACAGCCCACAUAGGGAUUGCCCACAGGUGGAGCAUGCGCAAACGACCCAUGUUGAUCUCGUCCCCCGCCCCUCCCCAUCCCUUCAGAAGAACUUCUUCCAAUCCACUGUUCACACCCUCGCCAUUAUCCCUCUCCUCCCAUUUGAGUUUCUGUUUGUAGCUAGCUAUCUUAGUUUGUUUUGUGCUAUGAUAACUCUGAAACUGAAUCCUUUGCAAAGAACAAAAGUUUAUUUCUUUCUAGUUAUGGAAACCAAAAAUGUCCUAGGUCAAGAUACCAACAUCGGUGAAGGAUUUCUUACUAUGGUGGCAAGGCAGAAGGCAUCACACGGAAGAGAGAACAAAUUCUAACACAGUGGUUCUCAACCUCCCUAAUGCUAUGACUCUUAACACAAUUUUUCAUGUUGGGGUGACUUCCAAACAUAAAAAUUAUUUUUGUUGCUACUUCAUAACUGUAAGUUUACUACUGUUACGAAUCAUAAUGUAAAUAUCUCCAUUUUUCUGACUGUCUAAGGCAACCCUGUGAAAGGGUCAUUCAACCCCGAAAAGGGUUGCAAUGCUCAGGUUUAGUGCCAGUGAUCUGGAGGUGUGAGUAGGAACCUGUCCUUUUUAUGAGGAACCCACUCCUGCUAUGAGGAGAAUAGAGUUGAUCUAUUAAACUAUCUCCAGGCCCAGUAAUGUGGAAGCCUCCUCAGAGGUCUUACCUUCUAAAAUGGCUGUCGUGGGAAUCAAAUUCCAACAUAUGGGGUUUAGGGAAGACAUUCAAACCAGAGUAGCAACCUGUCUCACUUCCUGGAUGUCUCCAUCUUUAGCCCUUAUGUACCCUGCACCAAAUUAACUCUCCUGCCCAGUGAACUAUCUACGUAUCUUUCGACGAACACUUUCUCAUCCUACACUUUCUUCCUCUGUAGAAAGCUAGGAUUCAGUCCUCACCUCAACUACCAUCUCCUAAAGAAAUGUGCUUGAACCCCUCCCUAUUUGGCCCCUUCACUUCCUGUCCUUCUUCAGUGGUCCUCGCCUCAACGACUCUGCUCACCUGCAUCCUUGUCUCCUCUCUCAUUGCCCCAAGCAUGUUCACAAUCUCCUUGACAGCCUGCCCAACUCAGUUUCCCCACGAUGCCCAGCAGUCACUUGCACAUAAAUACUUGUUAAUUCGACCGAGCUGCUUCCCCCACCAGUCCUGUUCCCACUCAAUCUCACUUCAUAUGUCAAGGCUGUUGAUUUUAUUACCAGGAAAUCAUCUGCAUAUUCCUACCUGCUUUGCUCCCCAUGCCUGAUAUCUCAGAUUUAAAGGUAAGUUAGACUGUAGACUGCCUUUUAAAUAUCCCCAGCUGAUUCUGUACAACUGCAGCCGAGGCCUGUAACAUUUAUUUAUAACUUUGCGAAAUUGGCCGGUGGUUAAGAUAUAUAAACCCGACGGGGCUCAUGCAUUUCCAAUACAUUAAGGUAUAUUUAAAACAUGCUGUGUCUUAUCAGCGGCUUUAAAAUACACAUUACCGCAGGAAUCAGGUGGACGGGAGCGAGGUAAUUGACUAAUGAGAAUUCUGUACAGUGACUGGAAAUAUGGCAGAACUGCCCUUUGAGAACUGUGCUCGCACCUACUAAUGAACUUUAUCUGCGGCUCUAAAACACAGCCCUGUGUUUCAAACACAAGCCCAGGAGGCUGCGCGGCUCGAAUGCGGUUGUGUUAAUUCACACCUAGUUAUGGUGACUGGCACCAGCCUUCAACACUGGUCAGAAGAAAGCUGCCGAACUGCUCUAGAAUAAUUACUAAGACUGGGUUUAUUUUAUAACAGGUGCCAGGUGUUAAUAUUGAAGGGCAUGUUUUGUUCUAACUCAAAGCAUGUGCAGGGGUUUGGGGAGUCAGGGCUGUGUGCAUCUGUUCGUAUGUCCACAUCAUGUGACUACAUACACAUACACACAUACCAUUUCUGUGAUUUAAGGAUGACUGGCAUGGUAGAAAAAGGUACAAUAGGGGAAUUCAGCAAAAUCCAAGCCAAGGCAGGAGUCUAGAGUUCAGAUAGGAUUUUCCAUGACUCAUGGACCUACGGUAAAUGUUCAGAGCAAGAACAUUCAUGUCUAAGCCAGUGAAGAUAGUGGAGCUGACCUUGUCCCAAAGAAGAGCCAUUCCCUUCGUAAUGGAGGAAAAAGGCUACUUCCCAUGCAUCUUCUAAAUGGUGCUGACCCAAAGCAGUGGGCUCAGUGACCAAGGUCGAAUUGCUUCAUUCUGCUUCUUUAGAUGCCUUCCGCUGUCCCUUUGGGUGCCUUCCUAACAACAACUGUUACAAAUCUUCCCAUAAUUCCAUCACAUAUAACUGGAAUGGGGUAGACACCCACAUGGAUUUGCUCCACUGAUUUCCCUUGUAAUUCCCACCUUUUCGUUAUAACGACCCCCCAAAUCCUAUCCUUUGACUGUCUCCCUGUGGGUUAAGACUGUCUAUCUAGUUGAUCAAUGGGCAGAGUUGCCUGUGUGCCCCACAUGUAGUUCAUACAACAAAUCCAAAGGUAACUUUUUACCUAUUCAAUCUGGACAAGUCGUCCCGAUGGAUUUACCUCCCAAAUGUCAUCUCCUCCUUCCUCAACAAAUGGAGCGGGUUUACCCUCCUGGCUCAGACACCCUCCCAGCCAAUCCCAUGCUCUGUCUUUCAUAUGGAUUUAGCAUCAUCUAAACUAAAAUGUAGGAAGAUAGCUUAGCUGAUAAAGUGCUUGCCAUGUAAGUAUGAGGACAUGGGUUUGCAUUCCUAUCACCUCCCGUAAAAGCCAGCAUAGUGGCACACAUCCGUAACCCCCAUCUUGAGAGGCAGAGACAGGAGGACUCCUGGGGGUUGCUGACCAGGUCAGCCUAAUCCUCAAGCUGUGCAUGCGUGCGCACACACACACACAUUUCAUAUAUGAAAGUGUAAAGGGGCUCUGCCUAAGAUUUCGCAACUUAAAUACUAAACUCUGUUUCUUUCCUAGGAUCCUGUGUACUUACAAGGCCACCUUGGAGGCCUCUGCCAGCUUCUCCUCACUGUCCACUACUCUCCAACUGCACUCUCUACUGCAGUGACACUGGACCACCUGACCUUCUUAGCAGUUGCUGACAGCUCUCUGCUGUCCACUUAUCUCUCCUCCUUUUCUAUUUGACGAGUUUCAAAUCAACCUGCACUCAGUGAGCGCUCGCAGGAGCCUCGUCUGAUUCCUCACGCCUGCUUCCAGAGAUCAGUCUGCUGUGUGCAUUGAAAUGUGUUGAUUUUUUUUAAGGUUGUUUGAACCAACAGAAUGGCAACUUGGGAAUUAGUGACUGUAUGUAUCUCUUCCCUUUUUGCAUUGCAAAUUGUUUAUAAAAGUAUUUUUGGUGGGAGCGUUUGAGUGAACAAAUGGAAUGUUUGCACUCACUUUGGUAAAGACUAGAAAUGAAGAGGAAAUGUUGAGGCCAUUGGGCUCAAUGAAUCUUUAAUUUGUACUCUGAAAGGAAUAGAGAAGGGAUGGUAUUCAUGAAAGAAAAAUGUGGUUAUGCUGAGACUUUUAGCUUCAUAUUACCUGAAAACUCACUGUCAAGGCUGAGAAGAUAGCUCGUAGAUAAAGUCCCUGCUACAUAAACUUGAGGACCUGAAUUCAGACCCCCAGCACCCAUGUAAAAGAGUCAAACAUGAUAGAAGUGACUGAGUAAACUUCUUUGCUGAGAGAGGGGAUAAAUAGAGACAGAGAGAUCCCUAGAGCUCUUUGGCUGGUUAACCUGGCCAAAUCAAAGGACCCCAGUUUCAGUGAGAGCCCUUAUCUCAAAAAAUAAUAUUGGAGGAAUAUUUUGAAGAAAGAUACUUGCUUGAUGCUACCUUUUAGUUCCACAUGCACACAAAAAAAACCCAUGCACAAUGCACAAUUAACCGGUUCCCUGUAAAAUCAGGAAGGGACACUGUUGUGUGCAGUGCAGGUGCUGGCCAAACUUAGCAUUUCCUUGCUGUGUUAGUACGUGCGGUGCCAUGUGUGGAGGUAACACUAGGACACCUGUCACUCAGGGAAAGACAAUAUACAGUCUAUCACUAAUUCUGUCACACACCCUUUGGGAAUUUGGAAGUGAAGUCAUCUGGGAUUGAGGGUCGAGUGGAUGGGAAAGAAACACCUGGAUCGGUGAAAAAUAUUUAACAAACAGCGGGUGUUAGGUCUCCACUUUUGUGUUGAUAUAAUGAAAUGUCAAAGAGAACCAGUUAUGGGAGAAAUUAUUUACUUUAUUGCAGGGAUUCCAAGGUUUCCAUCCAAGCGGACGGGGAAGAAAAACAGCACAGAAAAGGGAGACAAGAAGGAACUAUGGAUAUGGCAAAGUGAGUUGAGUUCUGGGUUAAGGCCACCUUGGAGCCAGUAUUAACAGAAGCUCAGAAAGGUUACCACCAAGGGACUCUUGGGGAGCACCCCUUUUUCUGUGCUUCUGUUACCCAGAAGGUGUUCCUGCUGUUGAUGAUGGAAAAACAAAGGAAAGAUCCUUUCUCAAGAUGCUACCCAAGAAGCACAUUAGUAUGACCAGUCUGAAGAGCUGUGGUGAUUCCGCUCAGGGCUUCUGCGCACCAAAAAUUAAAAGCAAAGAUCCUUAAAUCAACUGGACUACUUCUGGGCAGAUGGUCCAAAACCGUGUGUCUAAUGAGAAAGAGCUUUGUGGGGGAACAGUCACCAUCCUCCAUGCUGCAACUGCACCAAAGGGCUCAACAGUGCGGCAAAGACCACGUGACAUACGUGACCCUGACCCUUUGCACCUCUCCAAAGUCUGCCAGCCAAUGAGCAUUCAUCUUUUGGAGCUACAAGUGCAUGCUGGUCUGUGUGUGUGUGUGUGUGUGUGUGUGUGUGUGUGUGUGUGUGUGUGUGCAUGUGUGUGCAUGUAUGUGGGGGUGUGUUGCGCAUACAUGAGUGGCUUUUCAUGCUGGGCAUUCAAACUCAAGUAUUUAUACUAUAGAGCAAAACUUUCCCCCCACUGAGCUAUUUCUCCAGUCCCUCUGAUUUUUUUUAAGUCAAAAUGGUAUUAUUAUAAAUAUCAUAAUACUUUAAAAUCAAGAAGUCCCCGUGUUGUGUCUGUGUAGCAAAGGACAAUAAAACAUGGCCCUGUCAAACUGCA